AACGCACCUUGCGCCCCUUGGUAUUCCGAGGGGCACACCUGUUUGAGUGUCGUGAAUUUCUCAACCCUGCCUCCUUUGCGGGAGUGCGGGGCUUGGAGUUGGAGGUUUGCGGGCGCAAGUCCGCUCCUCUCAAAUGCAUUAGUGAAGCCCAGGUGGCCUCGGCGUGAUAAUUGUCUACGUCCAAGGUCGUCUAUUGCGGCAUCGCUUCUAACCGUCCCUCGGGACAAUUCAUCGAAACUUGACCUCAAAUCAGGUGGGACUACCCGCUGAACUUAA
rnacentral:misc_RNA from 1 species